rnacentral:rRNA from 1 species
CUCAGGACGAACGCUGGCGGCGUGCCUAACACAUGCAAGUCGAGCGAGGAGAUCCUUCGGGAUGAUCCUAGCGGCGGACGGGUGAGUAACACGUGGGCAACCUGCCUCAUAGAGAGGAAUAGCCUUCCGAAAGGGAGAUUAAUACCUCAUAACAUUGCAGUUUCGCAUGGAACAGCAAUUAAAGGAGCAAUCCACUAUGAGAUGGGCCCGCGGCGCAUUAGCUAGUUGGUGAGGUAACGGCUCACCAAGGCGACGAUGCGUAGCCGACCUGAGAGGGUGAUCGGCCACAUUGGGACUGAGACACGGCCCAGACUCCUACGGGAGGCAGCAGUGGGGAAUAUUGCACAAUGGGGGAAACCCUGAUGCAAGCAACGCCGCGUGAGUGAUGACGGCCUUCGGGUUGUAAAGCUCUGUCUUCAGGGACGAUAAUGACGGUACCUGAGGAGGAAGCCACGGCUAACUACGUGCCAGCAGCGGC